UUCAUCCCGCAACGCACCGGCGCCAGAGACACAAUUUCUCAAACCCUGUCUUCACAAAUAUCUUCCCAUAUACUGGCCCUGAGUGGUCUGGUUAUGGUUGUGGUUACCCCGCGGUUCAGUUGAUGGCCUCCCGAAUAAGCCAUCAGGCUAGAUUCGCGACCUUAUAGGCGGUGCUGUGGCAUUGGACCUUAAGAGCGGUGCCCUGGGCCCUGUGGCACCUCCGGCCAUGGGUAGUUCAGGGCGUCCCGCUGGCCGCACGGUGGAUUACAGUACAGGGCUCCCUCUCGCUCGCUGAGGAUCGGCAUUCUGGACAACAAUACGCUUGGCGCUCAGGUCCAACAUCUAAGUUGAUGGCAUUCCGAAUAAGCCCUCCGGCCAGACGAGCGGCGACCUCCGCGGAUGCGUGCAUUUUCCAGAACCUAAACCCAUUCGACCGUCAGGCCGUCUAGGGGGACCAGCUCUAGAUUAGCCCCGAAUUGGAUGCACCUGGGAGGGCACCUGGCGGCCGGCAUACGUCCUGGUGUUCAGCCGGAAUGUUCCUCCCGCCCCGUGGCACUGACAACUAUCGGGAGAGCCCCCAUGGUUCAGUUGAUGGCCUUCCGAAUAAGCCCUCCGGCUAGACGAGCGGCAUAGCCCUCCGGCUAGACAAGCGACCUCUCGAGCGGUGCCCCGGCACCUGUGGCACAUCCGGCCAUGGGCAGUUCAGGGCGUCCCGCUGGGCGCACGGUGGAUUGCACCAGGUCCUCCUCCCUGACGGGAUAGGACUGGUUCCUGGUCGUUCUUUGCUUAGUGUGCCCAGGUACAACAUAUACGUUGUGAGUGGCU
rnacentral:misc_RNA from 1 species